AUGAGUGAAGGGAACAGUUACAGCAGUAACGCCUUGCGGGUGUGGAUUGACUUGCCCUCCAGUGAGACUCCCUGGUUUCUGCUUCUCAACACAUCGUCUUCCAGAGGAGAGUUGACACAGUUGACUCUGGUUUGCCAUUCAUCCACUGCAGAUUCCAACAUUAUUCUAUAGACUUAUGAUUUGAGUUCAACGUACAUACUAAGUUAGCUAAAGCUAUUGG
rnacentral:lncRNA from 1 species